rnacentral:pre_miRNA from 1 species
UCUUAUGGAUGAGCAAAGAAAGUGGUUUCUUGAGAUGGAAUCUUCUCCUGCUGAGGAUGCUGUGAA